rnacentral:rRNA from 1 species
UGGGGAAUCUUGGACAAUGGGGGAAACCCUGAUCCAGCCAUGCCGCGUGAUCGAUGAAGGCCCUAGGGUUGUAAAGAUCUUUCAGCUGGGAAGAUAAUGACGGUACCAGCAGAAGAAGCCCCGGCUAACUCCGUGCCAGCAGCCGCGGUAAUACGGAGGGGGCUAGCGUUGUUCGGAAUUACUGGGCGUAAAGCGCACGUAGGCGGACCUGCAAGUUGGGGGUGAAAUCCCGGGGCUCAACCCCGGAACUGCCUCCAAAACUGCAGGUCUGGAGUCCGGGAGAGGCGAGUGGAAUUCCGAGUGUAGAGGUGAAAUUCGUAGAUAUUCGGAGGAACACCAGUGGCGAAGGCGGCUCGCUGGUCCGGUACUGACGCUGAGGUGCGAAAGCNUGGGGAGCAAACAGGAUUAGAUACCCUGGUAGUCCACGCCGUAAACUAUGAGAGCUAGACGUCGGGCGGCUUGCCGUUCGGUGUCGCAGCUAACGCAGUAAGCUCUCCGCCUGGGGAGUACGGCCGCAAGGUUAAAACUCAAAUGAAUU